rnacentral:rRNA from 1 species
CUCAACCGAGAUCUUGCGUCUAAUACUGAUAGGCCAGAGUCUCUGAGAGGAAGGCGGAAUUCCUGGUGUAGGGGUGAAAUCUAUAGAUAUCAGGAAGAACACCGGUUGCGAAGGCGGCCUUCUGGCAGAGGACUGACGCUGAGGUACGAAAGUUAGGGUAGCAAACAGGAUUAGAGACCCUGGUAGUCCUAACCGUAAACGUUGUAUACUAGGUGGUUGAAGUAUUGAUCCUUUGACUGCCGCAGCAAACGCAUUAAGUAUACCGCCUGGGGAGUAUGCCGGCAACGGUGAAACUCAAAGGAAUUGACGGGGCCCCGCACAAGCAGUGGAGCAUGUUGCUUAAUUCGAUGAUACGCGAGUAACCUUACCAGGUCUUGACAUAUACCUGUCUGGUGUAGAAAUACAUCAUUGCUUCGGCACGGGUAUACAGGUGCUGCAUGGUUGUCGUCAGCUCGUGCCGUGAGGUGUUGGGUUAAGUCCCGCAACGAGCGCAACCCUUAUUCUUUGUUGCUAACAGGUUAAGCUGAGCACUCUAAGGAGACUGCCGGUGACAAACCGGAGGAAGGUGGGGACGACGUCAAAUCAUCACGGCCCUUAUGACCUGGGCUGCAAACGUGCUACAAUGGGUGGUACAAAGAGUUGCGAGACCGCGAGGUGGAGCUAAUCUCAAAAAACUAUCCUCAGUUCGGAUUGGAGUCUGAAACCCGACUCUAUGAAGUUGGAAUUGCUAGUAAUCGCACAUCAUCAUGGUGCGGUGAAUACGUUCCCGGGGCUUGUACACACCGCCCGUCACAUCACCCGAGUUGAUAUACCCGAAGUACCUGAGCUAAC